rnacentral:rRNA from 1 species
AGAACGAACGCUGGCGGCAUGCCUAAUACAUGCAAGUCGAACGAAGGCUUCGGCCUUAGUGGCGCACGGGUGCGUAACGCGUGGGAAUCUGCCCCUUGGUUCGGAAUAACAGUUGGAAACGACUGCUAAUACCGGAUGAUGACGAAAGUCCAAAGAUUUAUCGCCAAGGGAUGAGCCCGCGUAGGAUUAGCUAGUUGGUGAGGUAAAGGCUCACCAAGGCGACGAUCCUUAGCUGGUCUGAGAGGAUGAUCAGCCACACUGGGACUGAGACACGGCCCAGACUCCUACGGGAGCAGCAGUGGGAAUUUGGACGAAUGGGGGAACCCUGAUCCAGCCACUCCGCGUGUGCGAUGAAGGCCGUUCGGGUUAGUAAGUACGUACGUUUAGGCGAGGGAAGGAAACGG